UUCAUUGUAGGUUGAUUACCGAUGGUUUCAUCGGUAAUUACCACUUGUGCAAAAAUGUGAACCCAUAUGUCUUAAGAUUUAGUUGGAAAUUAUUAUUAUCAAGUUAGGGUGGAAAAAUAGGGUAUGAUUAAAUCGUUGAUGUCAGUUCCAUUUAUGUAAUUCAUAUUGCAGCCCAUCGAUGCUCCAAAGGAACGGAUGUUGCAGGAUGCCGAUAUAAAUAAAGUUAGGGCACAUUCAUUCGGAAAUCCAAUAGAGGCGAACAAAGUAAUUACAAGUGUCCUCACAAGUGAGCAGCUCGAAAAGUAUAGACAAACAUGUUUUGGACACUUACUUGACAUGAAGAACCUCCGGUUCUCUGGUCAGUUAGUGCAUCACCUGCUUUGCAGACAAGUUGUGUCCAACAAUUCAGAAGUACUGGAGUUUAACUUCGGCGGAUCUGCAGUGCGGUUUACGAAGUGGGAAUUCGCACUCAUUAGUGGGUUAAAGUUUUGUAGGUACCCUUCGAUGUAUGAUAUGCAAAUUUCCAAAGGAAAUGAGCUGCGCACGAGGUUGCUAGAUGACAGGAGUGACUUGAAACCGCCCGAACUAGAAUGACUAUUCAAGGAUACACUUUUUGUGGAUGAUUGGGAUGCUAUUAGAAUUGCGUUACUAUAUUUCUUAGUUCAUGGUGUACUCGGAAUGGAUCCGAAGGUUCAAAUAAAAAAAAAAUUCAUUGAUUUGGUUGCUGAUCUCGACGUAUUUAAUUCCUACCCUUGGGGCAUUCUGAGCUACAAGGAGACGAUCAACUCAUUCCACAAUGCAUUCCAGCAAUGAGGACGAGGACGUGCAGUAAAGAAUAUAUCACAGUAUUAUGACCUAAAAGGUUUUCCAUUGGUGUUUCAGGUACGGUAAUAUAUUUAAUACAUGUAGCGUUUACUUAAAAUUUAUAUUUAAUAACCUAUAAUUUGUAUUUUGUAGGUGUGGGGGUUUGAAGCAAUCCCUGAUUUUGGUAACCAAUAUGCCGACCGGUUGGAAACCCGUUGUCCGAGGAUCCUUGGAUGGCAUACUUCAAGGCAACCGAACCAUUUUGCUGUCCAUAAUUGGUUCUCCUCCAAUAGCAAUUAUGUUUUGCACUGGAGGUUAGAUGCUUCCGAUGAGGAGAAGACUAUGGAUUACUGGCGAACAAUAGCAGUUGACAUACAUGAAGUUCGCUACACGUCACCUCCAAUUGUAGCACCAAUAGUUGGCGCUAAAGAUGUUGGCGCUAAAGAUGUUAGCGCUGAAGAUGCGUCCAAAGCUGAGGAGCAUUCUAGUGGCCCUCCAAAUGCUAAUUUCAGGCUUGCUUGCUUGGAGGCAAAAUUUGAUGACUUAAAUAAAGAGAUGGCAGCGUUAAGGAAGAUGCUUAGUUCUGUUAUUGACCAACAAAAGCAUCAGG